CCUACGGGAGGCAGCAGUGAGGAAUAUUGGUCAAUGGUCGGGAGACUGAACCAGCCAAGCCGCGUGAGGGAUGAAGGUACAGAGUAUCGUAAACCUCUUUUGUCAGGGAACAAAGGCGGGGACGCGUCCCCGGAUGAGUGUACCUGAAGAAAAAGCAUCGGCUAACUCCGUGCCAGCAGCUGCGGUAAUACGGAGGAUGUGAGCGUUAUCCGGAUUUAUUGGGUUAAAAGGGUGCGCAGGCGGUCUUUUAAGUCAGCGGUCAAAGCCCGGGGCUCAACCCCGGCCCGCCGUUGAAACUGGCAGUCGCGAGUUGGAGAGAAGUAUGCGGAAUGCGCGGUGUAGCGGUGAAAUGCAUAGAUAUCGCGCAGAACUCCGAUUGCGAAGGCAGCAUGCCGGCUCCACACUGACGCUGAGGCACGAAAGCGUGGGUAUCGAACAGGAUUAGAGACCCUAGUAGUC
rnacentral:rRNA from 1 species